rnacentral:rRNA from 1 species
GAAGUUUUCAGAGAUGAGAAUGUGCCUUCGGGAACCGUGAGACAGGUGCUGCAUGGCUGUCGUCAGCUCGUGUUGUGAAAUGUUGGGUUAAGUCCCGCAACGAGCGCAACCCUUAUCCUUUGUUGCCAGCGGUUAGGCCGGGAACUCAAAGGAGACUGCCAGUGAUAAACUGGAGGAAGGUGGGGAUGACGUCAAGUCAUCAUGGCCCUUACGACCAGGGCUACACACGUGCUACAAUGGCGCAUACAAAGAGAAGCGACCUCGCGAGAGCAAGCGGACCUCAUAAAGUGCGUCGUAGUCCGGAUUGGAGUCUGCAACUCGACUCCAUGAAGUCGGAAUCGCUAGUAAUCGUGGAUCAGAAUGCCACGGUGAAUACGUUCCCGGGCCUUGUACACACCGCCCGUCACACCAUGGGAGUGGGUUGCAAAAGAAGUAGGUAGCUUAACCUUCGGGAGGGCGCUUACCACUUUGUGAUUCAUGACUGGGGUGAAGUCGUAACAAGGUAACCGUAGGGGAACCUGCGGUUGGAUCACCUCCUUACCUGAAAGAAGC